CAACUACUCCCCCUGUUCAGAAUUACUUGUCGCAGAAAUGAAUAUAUCUAGACGUAUUUUGGUUUUAGAUACAUCCAUUUUUAAGACAAGUAAUUCCGAACGGAGGGAGUAAAAU
rnacentral:pre_miRNA from 1 species